UACGUAGGGGGCAAGCGUUAUCCGGAAUUACUGGGUGUAAAGGGAGCGUAGACGGUGAAGCAAGUCUGAAGUGAAAGGCGGGGGCUCAACCCCCGGACUGCUUUGGAAACUGUUUGACUGGAGUGCAGGAGAGGUAAGUGGAAUUCCUAGUGUAGCGGUGAAAUGCGUAGAUAUAAGGAGGAACACCAGUGGCGAAGGCGGUCUGCUGGACAGCAACUGACGGUGAGGAGCGAAAGCGUGGGGAUCAAACAGG
rnacentral:rRNA from 1 species